UUUUAAACUUGUUUCCUCACAUGUCGUCUUGACUACGUGGUUGAACGUCCCGCAGAAGAAGGCCUUCCUGAAGUCAUCAGGAUUCUGGAUGACAGUCUCCCGAGCACCAUCUCUUCUGAUGAAGAACAGGACACUGAUACCCAGCGUGUCAGUAAAGGUGAGUAUGGUGAGUAUAUCCUUCUCUCAUCCUCCCCCUCUUCUCACGAAGCUUCUCCUUCAACCUCAGUUCUCACCUCCUCAGCAAAGAGAAGCAGAGAAGACAUCUGCACUGAAGAGGUGCAAGGUAAGUGAUGGCACGUUCUGUAACCCUUCUACAUCAUCAGGUUCUUUUGGUGUCAGACGCUUCUGGGAAAGGCCUUUUAACCUUUCACUUGAUGACAGUGACUCUGACUAAGUAAUGUUAGAACCUGUUUUUAAACGUUAAACGUUUAAGUUGGCCUUUGCGUCUUGCAGUGUUUAUAAGACACUUUCUUGCUUUGAGGACAGCUUCUUGUAAAUAUCCUUUACUUUUUAAAUAACUUUGUAAUGUUUAAGUUAAGCCUUUGUGUCUUGUGAUGUUUGUAACACAGCUAACUAAGAAUAUCUGACUUUUAAAGAAUAUUAACUAACACAUGUGAAAUGUAUUGUUUUUUUCUUAAUAUGUGACAUUGCCUGUGCGACUGUAAGGUAGUGUUUUAGGUGUUGUUACUUCUAUUUUUGUUAAUAUCACAGGUAACUGUUUAAAUGACUUACAUAUUUUUUCUCAAGCGCUAGCUCACCAUGCAGGACAAAGGUAAGUCCGUACUUAAUGUCAACACAAAUGAGUAGAAAAGGUUCAAAAAUGAUGUCGUGAACUGACUGUAGUCUCUUGUUUAUACAUAAGGUAUAGCCUGUGGCUAAGGGAUCAGAGGUGCUUUACACUUGUCCUCUCCCAGCAUUCCAGACGGCGCUAACACAGAGAGAUGCUCUACCCAGAAGACAGCCUUACCCCAACCCGAUGAGAAGGAUGGAUGACCAAAUUACAAACUGGAGAGUGGUGCUGUGUUCCAGCUAUGGCAGCUGAGAGUGGACAGAGCUGCACAGAGGACCAAAGAUCCACUCUCAGCACUUCAUACCUGACUGGCCACAGCACCACCCCUCUUCACCCAGGGUGAGGAGGGUCCUGACCCCGCCUGCACAGAGGGAGUUGUGAACAUGCACUUCUGUAUCGGUGGGUUUAGGAGCCUCCUCACACACACACGGAUGAAGACUGUCACUGGAAGAUGUCUCUAUUGCAUCAGCAGGACAGGACGUAAGCAUUUGUAUAAUAUUACAGUUUGUGAUGUUUUAUACAUGUUUUUAUUGCUUCAUUUCAAACUAGGAGAUAUAAAAUAAACCAGUUUUCAUAAUAGUUUCUGUCUCUUUAGUUGUUUUCUUAAUAAGUUAUUUGGAACAUCAUUGCAACC